AAACCAGGCAGGUAUGUGAGGCAAACUGGUACCUUGGCCCACUUGACAUCAGAUUCUCUUCACCCCAUUCCCCAACGCCUCCUCCCUUCCAGUUUGUCAACCAGCAGCUCCCUCCGUCGCCAUAGAUCCUCCCUUGUUUCUCUCCUCAUACCUCACACCCUCACAAGAUGGUACCUUACUAGCUGGCUAAUGCUGUUGUGCAGCGUCUUCCUCCCUCUCAAGGGGCAAGAAGGUACCGAUGUGUCAUUUCAUCGGUGACACCAUGGCUGCUAGCACUGACCUCAAGGACGGCGUCCCCUUCACCAACUCCAGCAGCUGCAGAUCCAUGAUGGUUGAACAUGGAAUCACCCAAUCUGGGACAUGAUGGCCCUAUAUAAGGUUUGAUUUGGGUCAUGGUGGUGCCAAGCAUGAUGAUGUGGGGGCAUAUCUGAGCCAGCGGUUUCAAUAGUUGACGAGGAGAGAGACCUCACGGUGAUUAAUCUGGCAACAACUUGGUGUAUUUCUUGCAGAGAGGAAAUCUAGGUUUGGUGCAAGUCUUGGGCACGAUUCCCUUUUAUCCAGGAAGAUGCAUCUUUUUUAACUAGGGGAAGAUAGUUAUAUUUUAGAUGGUUCUUGAUCUGUGAUCCAUUUAUCUUUUUCAAACACAUGGAUGAUACCUCUCCUUUUGAGAGGAAAAUAUAUUAAUCUUAGUUUUUUCC